rnacentral:rRNA from 1 species
UCCGCCAGGAAACUACGAGCAAGGCUUGAAACCCAAAGGACUUGGCGGUGUCUCAGAUCCCCCUAGAGGAGCCUGUUCUAGAACCGAUAAUCCCCGUUCAACCUCUCCUUCUCUUGUUUAUUCUGCCUAUAUACCACCGUCGCCAGCUUACCCCUCAAGGGCAUCAUAGAAAGCAAAACGGGCACAACCCAGAACGUCAGGUCGAGGUGUAGCGUAUGAGAAGGUAAUAAUGGGCUACAUUUCCUAACUCAGGAUACUACAGACGACACUGUGAAAUCAGUGCCCCAAGGUGGAUUUAGUAGUAAGAAAAGAACAGAGCGCUUCUCUGAAACUGGCCCUGAGAUGCGUACACACC